rnacentral:rRNA from 1 species
AGUGAACGCUGGCGGUAGGCCUAACACAUGCAAGUCGAACGGCAGCACAGUAAGAGCUUGCUCUUACGGGUGGCGAGUGGCGGACGGGUGAGGAAUACAUCGGAAUCUACUUUUUCGUGGGGGAUAACGUAGGGAAACUUACGCUAAUACCGCAUACGACCUACGGGUGAAAGCAGGGAAUCUUCGGACCUUGCGCGAUUGAAUGAGCCGAUGUCGGAUUAGCUAGUUGGCGGGGUAAAGGCCCACCAAGGCGACGAUCCGUAGCUGGUCUGAGAGGAUGAUCAGCCACACUGGAACUGAGACACGGUCCAGACUCCUACGGGAGGCAGCAGUGGGGACUAUUGGACAAUGGGCGCAAGCCUGAUCCAGCCAUACCGCGUGGGUGCAGAAGGCCUUCGGGUUGUAAAGCCCUUUUGUUGGGAAAGAAAAGCAGCAGGUUAAUACCCCGCUGUUAUGACGGUACCCGAAGAAUAAGCACCGGCUAACUUCGUG